rnacentral:rRNA from 1 species
GGUUAAGCGACUAAGCGUACACGGUGGAUGCCCUGGCAGUCAGAGGCGAUGAAGGACGUGCUAAUCUGCGAUAAGCGCCGGUAAGGUGAUAUGAACCGUUAUAACCGGCGAUUUCCGAAUGGGGAAACCCAGUGUGAUUCGUCACACUAUCAUUAACUGAAUCCAUAGGUUAAUGAGGCGAACCGGGGGAACUGAAACAUCUAAGUACCCCGA